rnacentral:rRNA from 1 species
UACGUAGGGGGCAAGCGUUGUCCGGAUUUAUUGGGCGUAAAGAGCGUGUAGGCGGUUUGGUAGGUCCGCUGUGAAAACUCGAGGCUCAACCUCGAGACGCCGGUGGAAACCAUCAGACUAGAGUCCGGAAGAGGAGAGUGGAAUUCCUGGUGUAGCGGUGAAAUGCGCAGAUAUCAGGAAGAACACCCGUGGCUAAGGCGGCUCUCUAGUACGGUACUGACGCUGAGACGCAAAAGCGUGGGGAGCGAACAGG